rnacentral:rRNA from 1 species
AGUGAACGCUGGCGGUAGGCCUAACACAUGCAAGUCGAACGGCAGCACAGAGGAGCUUGCUCCUUGGGUGGCGAGUGGCGGACGGGUGAGGAAUACAUCGGAAUCUACUCUGUCGUGGGGGAAAACGUAGGGAAACUUACGCUAAUACCGCAUAAGACCUAUGGGUGAAAGCAGGGGACCUUGGGGCCUUGCGCGAUUGAAUGAGCCGAUGUCGGAUUAGCUAGUUGGCGGGGUAAAGGCGCACCAAGGCGACGAUCCGUAGCUGGUCUGAGAGGAUGAUCAGCCACACUGGAACCGAGACACGGUCCAGACUCCUACGGGAGGCAGCAGUGGGGAAUAUUGGGCAAUGGGCGCAAGCCUGAUCCAGCCAUACCGCGUGGGUGAAGAAGGCCUUCGGGUUGUAAAGCCCUUUUGUUGGGAAAGAAAUCCAGCUGGCUAAUACCCGGUUGGGAUGACGGUACCCAAAGAAUAAGCACCGGCUAACUUCGUGCCAGCCGCCGCAGUAA